rnacentral:lncRNA from 1 species
AUGCUUAAAAUUCUCCAAGCCAGACUUCAGCAAUAUGUGAACCGUGAACUCCCAGAUGUUCAAGCUGGUUUUAGAAAAGGCAGAGGAACCAAAGAUCAAAUUUCCAACAUCUGCUGGAUCAUGGAAAAAGCAAGAGAGUUCCAGAAAAACAUCUAUUUCUACUUUAUUGACUAUGCCAAAGCCUUUGACUGGGUGGAUCACAAGAAACUGUGGAAAAUUCUGAAAGAGAUGGGAAUAACAGACCACCUAACCUGCCCCCUGAGAAAUCUGUAUGCAGGUCAGGAAGCAACAAUUAGAACUGGACAUGGAACAACAGACUGUUUCCAAAUAGGAAAAGGAGUACGUCAAGGCUGUAUAUUGUCACCCUGCUUAUUUAACUUAUAUGCAGAGUACAUCAUGAGAAACGCUGGGCUGGUGGAAGCACAAGCUGGAAUCAUGAUUGCUGGGAGAAAUAUCAAUAACCUCAGAUAUGCAGAUGACACCACCCUUAUGGCAGAAAGUGAAGAAGAACUAAAGAGCCUCUUGAUGAGAGUGAAAAGGGAGAGUGAAAAAGUUGGCUUAAAGCUCAACAUUCAGAAAACGAAGAUCAUGGCAUCUGGUCCCAUCACUUCAUGGCAAAUAGAUGGGGAAACAGUAGAAACAGUGUCAGACUUUGUUUUUCUGGGCUCCAAAAUCACUGCAGAUGGUGAUUGCAGCCAUGAAAUUAAAAGACGCUUACUCCUUGGAAGAAAAGUUAUGACCAACCUAGAGAGCAUAUUGAAAAGCACAGACAUUACUUUUCCAACAAAGGUCUCUCUAGUCAAGGCUAUGGUUUUUCCAGUGGUCAUGUAUGGAUGUGAGAGUUGGACUAUAAAAAAAGCUGAGCACAGAAGAAUUGAUGCUUUUGAACUGUGGUGUUGGAGAAGACUCUUGAGACUCCCUUGGACUUCAAGGAGGUCCAACCAGUCCAUCCUAAAGGAGAUCAGUCCUGGGUGUUCAUUGGAAAGACUAAUGUUGAAGCUGAAACUCCAAUAUUUUGGCCACCUGAUGCAGAGCUGA